GACACGAUGGCCGAGCGCGCUGGUUUUAGGCACCAGUCUUCGGGCGUGGGUUCGAAUCUCACUCGUGUUA
rfam:Phytophthora infestans T30-4 supercont1.28 genomic scaffold, whole genome shotgun sequence.